CACGCAGGCGGUUCUGCGCGUUUCGAGUGACAGCGGGUGGCUUAACUGCCCGAGGAUUCGAAAGACGGCAGGACUUGAGGGCCAGAGAGGGACACGGAAUUCCGGGUGGAGUGGUGAAAUGCGUAGAGAUCCGGAGGAACACCGAAGGCGAAGGCAGUGUCCUGGCUGGUGACUGACGCUGAGGUGCGAAAGCUAGGGGAGCGAACGGGAUUAGAUACCCCGGUAGUCCUAGCCGUAAACGAUGACCACCAGGUGUGGGAGGUAUCGACCCCUUCCGUGCCGGAGUUAACACACUAAGUGGUCCGCCUGGGGAGUACGGUCGCAAGAUUAAA
rnacentral:rRNA from 1 species